UUACGGUCAAAUCACGCUGAAACACCGGUUCUCGUUCGAUCACCGAAGUUAAGCAUCGUAGAGACAGGUCAGUACUUAGAUGCGGGACCGCUUGGGAACACCUGGUACUGUAAG
rnacentral:rRNA from 1 species